UAUACGAACGUUCAUUGUUGCCUUCUACAUUCCUCUGCUGACAGUGAAGAGGUCAUGCUAAAUCAAACUGACGGAGAAACUGGACAUCAGCUUAGCCAGGAUGCCCAAAUUAAUACUACUGAAACAAAAGACAUAUGCCAGUCCAACAAAACUUAGUAUUUGUGAAACUAAGGUGACAAGGGAGGAACAUGGAAGAGCUGGCAAUAAAACUCACCUUUCAAGGAUCAAAACGGAAGACAUAACUUCUGAGAUAUUCUCCAUCUCUAGUGGCUAAUUUGAAUAUCCUAGGUUUUGACCACUACAAUUUCCACUCUAAACUAUUCCACGGUUACUACUGGAAAGAGCAGGUGACUUUUGGAGAUAGUAAAUCAUAUGCUUGCCAUUUGUUAUCUUGUGUUCCUAAAUGUAAUAGCAUGCACACAUCAGAUGCAAUGAUGUUCAUGUGCUACCCGACUUGUCAGGGUCUGAAGAAAAGCCUGGUAAACUUCAGAAAAGAAGGGAAGUUAUUUCU
rnacentral:lncRNA from 1 species